GACGAACGCUGGCGGCGUGCUUAACACAUGCAAGUCGAGCGGUAAGGCCCUUUCGGGGGUACACGAGCGGCGAACGGGUGAGUAACACGUGGGUGACCUGCCCUCAGCUCUGGGAUAAGCCUGGGAAACCGGGUCUAAUACCGGAUAUGACUCCAUGACGCAUGUUGUGGGGUGGAAAGCCUUGUGCGGCUGAGGAUGGGCCCGCGGCCUAUCAGCUUGUUGGUGGGGUGAUGGCCUACCAAGGCGACGACGGGUAGCCGGCCUGAGAGGGCGACCGGCCACACUGGGACUGAGACACGGCCCAGACUCCUACGGGAGGCAGCAGUGGGGAAUCUUGCGCAAUGGGCGAAAGCCUGACGCAGCGACGCCGCGUGAGGGAUGACGGCCUGGUGUAACGUAC
rnacentral:rRNA from 1 species